GCGUCCUUAGCUCAGCUGGAUAGAGUACCUGGCUACGAACCAGGCGGUCGGUGGUUCGAGUCCACUCAGACCCACCA
rnacentral:tRNA from 1 species